rnacentral:tRNA from 7 species
GGCUGGGUAGCUCAGUUGGUUAGAGCGCGGGACUCAUAAGCCCGAGGUCGAGGGUUCGACCCCCUCUCCAGCUACCA